rnacentral:rRNA from 1 species
CUCAGGAUGAACGCUAGCGGCAGGCUUAAUACAUGCAAGUCGUGGGGCAGCAUGAGUAGCAAUACUUGAUGGCGACCGGCAAACGGGUGAGGAACACGUACACAACCUUCCUUCAAGCGGGGAAUAGCCCAGAGAAAUUUGGAUUAAUACCCCAUAAUAUAUUUGAUAAGGCAUCUUAUUAAUAUUAAAGCUUCGGCACUUGAUGAUGGGUGUGCGGCUGAUUAGAUAGUUGGCGGGGUAACGGCCCACCAAGUCUACGAUCAGUAGCUGAUGUGAGAGCAUGAUCAGCCACACGGGCACUGAGACACGGGCCCGACUCCUACGGGCGGCAGCAGUAAGGAAUAUUGGACAAUGGACGAAAGUCUGAUCCAGCCAUGCCGCGUGAAGGAUUAAGGUCCUCCGGAUUGUAAACUUCUUUUAUAUGGGACGAAAAAGGGCAUUCUUGUUCACUUGACGGUACCAUAUGAAUAAGCACCGGCUAACUCCGUG